rnacentral:misc_RNA from 1 species
UUGACAAAAAUAUCUAGGAAAGGCAAUAUGGCGUACCUAAUAACAAUUAAGAGUAACAAAAUCCCGAAAUAUUUUAACUACAUGUACAACGAGCCGGGGUGCGCAAAGUCCAUGAAAGAGUACGCUGCGACGAGAAAGUGCACAGUAGAGUGCAUAGCCGUAUCGGCACUAUACAAGGACGCUUGUCACAAGAUAAGACAUAAACAAGGCCAGCUGUCCAAGACCCUUGCUAACGUUGACUGCGCAAAGGAGCCAGUACGGGUUGUCAAGGUACUGAAGGACUUGGUUGACAUGGAUCUAAUUAUCGAGGCGGCUAUGUCAAGGACACACAAACGUCAGUUGGCAGCUUUGAGAGCUGAUCUAAGGGCCCAACAACCGACAGGACGGAAAACCUGUGACAGUGAGUCAGAUGAUGAGACACCUCAGUCACCAAGGUUAAAUGAUACUUUUGAGUCCCUGGAUAGUGUUAACCAAACACUUAUGGGCCUAACAGCGGACAGUGUGGAAGCAUCCAUUAACCAGACAGCGAUCAUGGAGAGUCUAAAAUCGCUACACAGAAAAGUGGAGGCUCAGGAUAAGAAAAUGGACAUGAUUCUACAGAUGCUACAAGGCAUGCGGGAUUACGAGGGUGCUACCCUGAUGGGAUGUGAGCUGAAUCCUAAGAUCGUGUAUGUAGAGUUCACCGCCGUUGUCCGCCGUCAGAAGGAGAUCUUGAAGAAGUUGGUGGAGAGAAAACAGGCGGAGAUAAGGAAGGUUCAUUCGGGACUAACCUGCUUCAGGGACGGAGUAACUGAGAUUCCAGUAGAGAGUAUCCCAGGGAUCCUUGAGACAGGAUACACUCCACCUCAGGCUAAAAAUACAAGGUCGAGUGAAGACAAGAUGGACCAGGAGACCCUGUACAACACCCUCAAGGUGAUUCUCCAUGCUUGCAAGACCUUCCAGUAUGCCUGGCCGUUCCUUAACCCUGUUGAUAGAAAGGCUGUUCCUGACUACUACGACCACAUCAAGUUCCCGAUGGAUAUGAAGUCGAUGGGUGAACGGUUGAAGGCCAACUACUAUGUGAACAGAAGGCUCUUCAUCGCAGAUAUGAAGAGAAUGAUCACCAACUGUAAGGCAUACAAUUCCCCUGAAACAGAAUACUUCAACUGUGCUACACACCUGGAGAAGUUUUUCUUCACAAAACUACGAGAUCAUGCGCUGCUAUAGAUAAACACCUGUUAAUGUACGAUGUAUAAUGUACAGAGAUUUUUCUUCAAAACUUCGAGAUCAUGCACUGUUUAGGCCACCACUAGUAGUGUACGAUAAACAUAGUUUUCUAAACAAAGCUACGAGAACAUUCUUUGCUUUAGUUUAACACCAGCACAUUUUACAAUUUUUACAGUGUAAAUUGUAAAUUAAUGUAAAAAACGUUAUGUGCAUUGCAAGUUAGAAGUUGUAAACUGUACAUUGGACAUUCAUGCACCCUGGUGCAAAGUAUAUCCUCUGAUGUUAAUACCUUAUGAGAAGUAAAUGUACAAUGUACAGUUAUUUGUAGCUUCUCUGUAAUUAUUUUACUAUUUGUAAAACUUUGUUCAACGCUUUUGUACAUCAUUCAUGUUCUUUUAUUUCUUCCUAGUUCACGAAAUUACUUUAUUUUUUUUGGGGAAUAGUUAAUGUUUAAUUCACUUUAAGUAGAUAAUUUUCACGCGUUUGAUUUUAAUUAAAGAAGAUUAGACAUGUUCUACAUGUUUAAUUUUUGUCAACAUAUGUACUUGGACGUCUUAUUCAGUAGACAUUUCAUACAAGUUUAAUCUUAAUUUAUCUUAAAGGGACUGUAAGCGUAAUUUCAAAUGACCCUCCACGAAAAAUUGACAAUCUUAUUUACAGUUCUACCGGCCUUAAAAGCUUUGUCUGAUCAAGCAUGAAAUAGACAAAACUCAUGAUUUUUAAUUUUAAUUUCUCUGCAAAAGUGGCUUGCGCAUUUUUACUGCACUGCAGGAGAACGUACAUUGAAUUUUAUGAAAA